GGCCUUAUGGUCUAGUCGUAUGAUUCUCCCUUUGGGUGCCAUCAUCAGGAUGGUAUCAACAUUGGGAGAGGUCUCGGGUUCAAUUCCCGAUGAGGCCC
rnacentral:tRNA from 2 species